GUCUACUCUACACCUACCACAUAUGUCCAUGAAGUGCUGUCUCACCAGCUUCCUUUUAGUUUAAUUUAAUGUACCAGCAUAUAACCGGUGGUGAUUCCACACCUACUAUUGUAUAUCACUGAACCUUGACUAAAAGGUCUAAUCUUGCUGUUUUAUCUGGUAUUCUAUGGCUUCCUAGCAGCACUCUUUACAUUCACCAUGUGGGUUAUGCUUCAGACUUUGAGCAGAGAUAUUCCUAAAUAUCGUGACCGGAUUUCUAGUCCAGGACUUAUGAUUUCACCAAAGCCAGUCAUUGCACUGGAAUUUUAUUUUAACAAGUCUGAUGCCAAGUCAUAUGCAGAGUAUGUUUCAACUCUUAAACAAUUUCUAAAAUGUAAGUACAGUGUUGUGUGUUUUU